rnacentral:rRNA from 1 species
ACGCUCGACACCUACGGGAGGCGGCAGUGGGGAAUAUUGCACAAUGGGGGAAACCCUGAUGCAGCGACGCCGCGUGAGCGAAGAAGUAUUUCGGUAUGUAAAGCUCUAUCAGCAGGGAAGAAACUGACGGUACCUGACUAAGAAGCACCGGCUAAAUACGCGCCAGCAGCCGCAGUAAUCUGAGCGGGCUGGCAAGGC